AUGGCCACGCCCACUAUCCUGAACUCAUCAGGAUUCUCAUCCCCAUCUCCCCUUUUCCCCGCAGGGCUGCGGGCGGCCGUGACCCUGCUGGAGUCCGGGGGGGACCUCCGGCCCCCCGGGGGGUCCCUGCGCCUCCUCUGCCGAGCCUCCGGCUUCGAUUUCGGCAGUUUUGCCAUGCAAUGGGUUCGACAGAGACCCGGGCAGACGCUGGAAUUUGUCGCAUACAUCAGCAACGGUGGCAGCACCUGGUACCCGCCGUCGGUCAAGGGCCGGGUCACGAUCUCCAGGGACAACGGGCAGAGCUCGGUGACGCUGACCAUGAGCAUCCUCAAGGACGAGGAUUCCGGAUCCUAUUUCUGCGCCAGGGGUGCUGAUGGUUAUGGUGCUGCUGGUUAUUGGGGAUUUUGGGACAUU